rnacentral:rRNA from 1 species
AGAGUUUGAUCCUGGCUCAGGACGAACGCUGGCGGCGUGCUUAACACAUGCAAGUCGAACGGGAUUUAGUAAACAGAAGCCUCGGUGGAAGAUUACUAAUGAGAGUGGCGAACGGGUGAGUAACGCGUGAGCAACCUGCCUAUGACAGUGGGAUAGCCUCGGGAAACCGGGAUUAAUACCGCAUAAAAUCGUAGAAACACAUGUUUUAACGGUCAAAGAUUUAUCGGUCAUAGAUGGGCUCGCGUCUGAUUAGCUAGUUGGUGAGAUAACAGCCCACCAAGGCGACGAUCAGUAGCCGGUCUGAGAGGAUGAACGGCCACAUUGGAACUGAGACACGGUCCAAACUCCUACGGGAGGCAGCAGUGGGGAAUAUUGCACAAUGGAGGGAACUCUGAUGCAGCGACGCCGCGUGAACGAAGAAGGCUUUCGAGUCGUAAAGUUCUUUUAUAUGGGAAGAUAAUGACGGUACCAUAAGAAAAAGCCCCGGCUAACUACGUGCCAGCAGCCGCGGUAAUACGUAGGGGGCUAGCGUUGUCCGGAAUCACUGGGCGUAAAGGGUUCGCAGGCGGAAAUGCAAGUCAGAUGUAAAAGGCAGUAGCUUAACUACUGUAAGCAUUUGAAACUGCAUAUCUUGAGAAGAGUAGAGGUAAGUGGAAUUUUUAGUGUAGCGGUGAAAUGCGUAGAUAUUAAAAAGAAUACCGGUGGCGAAGGCGACUUACUGGGCUCAUUCUGACGCUGAGGAACGAAAGCGUGGGUAGCAAACAGGAUUAGAUACCCUGGUAGUCCACGCC